GACGAACGCUGGCGGCGUGCCUAAUACAUGCAAGUAGGACGCAGUUGCGAACGGGGGAGUAACGCGUAGGUAACUAACUAGUCGAGGGGGAUAACUCUUGGAAACGAUAGCGAAUACCAAAUAAUAUUAGAUGGACCUGCGUUGUAUUAGCUAGUCGGUAGGGUAAUGGCCUACCUAGGCAAUGAUACAUAGCCGACCUGAGAGGGUUAUCGGCCACCCUGGGACUGGGACACGGCCCAGACUCCUACGGGAGGCAGCAGUAGGGAAUCUUCGGCAAUGGGGGGAAACCUGACCGAGCAACGCCGCGUGAGUGAAGAAGGUUUGCGGAUCGUAAAGCUCUGUUGUUAAGGAAGCGGUACUUAACCAGAAAGGGACGGCUAACUACGUGCCAGCAGCCGCGGUAAUUC
rnacentral:rRNA from 1 species